GGGAGAUGGUAAAUUUGACUCUCACCCUCGUCCUUGCACGCACAUGAAGUUCAAGCAUUGGCUAGUAAUUGGACAAAACUAGACCUAACCAUAUGGCCCACUAAGUCAAACUUUUUGUCGGAAAAAUUCUUGCUCAAACUGGUUCCAUUAUGGACCAAGAACACAAAAAACGUGGGAUCCACAAACAAAACUUGUGGGCCCCACAUGCAAAUAUGUUUCUUAGACCAUGAUGGAUUGGGUCUAAGCAAAAUACCUUUUUGUGGUUACCAGUAGUUCUUGUAAGCCAAAAUAGUCCCAUUUCCAUGCUAGACUUGUGGUGUUACAUUCUCUUCCCAUUCAGCUUGCAAUGUGCUCGUUAUGCUAUGAUCUAGCGAGGACUUCCCCAGAGGGCUUUUGUAGAUACAAAAUCAAAUAAGAAUACUACGUUUCACCCUAUGGGCCUUCCAAAUUCCACUUAGUUGUGGUCCUCAUGGGUUAGCUUUGUCAGGACUCUAGCCCAAUGCUCCUUCUUGGGGCUUGCAACAUUAAGGAAAAUGAACGUAAAACCACUUGGUCCCUAAGUUCAAGUGUCUCAGCAAGUAGGCUUGCCGUAUUGCAUUUCACUUUACCUUGAAUGUGGGAACGUGCUAUUGGAGUUUUAACACGCAUUAUGCAUAAAGCAUAUGGGACUUGAUGUGCGUGUCCUUGGUUGUUGCAACUCAAGGAAAAUGAAUGUAAAACCGCUUGGCCCAAAAAUUCAAGUUUGUGUUUAGUAGCAAGGCAAGGGGGCUUGCCUUCUUGCGUUUCUCUCUCUUUAAUGUGGAUCUUGCUAUUGGAGUCUUGACACACAUUUAUGCAGAAAAACAUGUUUAACUUUUUGUGUGUCUGUGUGUAAAUUUCUACCACGUGUCGAGAUUUUGACAAAAUACUUUUUUGUACAACAGUUUUUUUUUUUUUUU
rnacentral:misc_RNA from 1 species